GCACCCGUAGCUCAGUUGGUAGAGCACCUGACUCUUAAUCAGGGUGUCCAGGGUUCGAACCCCUGCGGGUGUA
rnacentral:tRNA from 2 species